UACGUAGGGUGCAAGCGUUGUCCGGAAUUAUUGGGCGUAAAGAGCUCGUAGGCGGUUUGUCGCGUCUGCUGUGAAAACCCGAGGCUCAACCCCGGACUUGCAGUGGGUACGGGCAGACUAGAGUGUGGUAGGGGAGACUGGAAUUCCUGGUGUAGCGGUGAAAUGCGCAGAUAUCAGGAGGAACACCGAUGGCGAAGGCAGGUCUCUGGGCCACUACUGACGCUGAGAAGCGAAAGCAUGGGGAGCGAACAGG
rnacentral:rRNA from 1 species